rnacentral:lncRNA from 1 species
AUAUCUAUAAUAUCAAAAAGGUGUUUCCCUGAGCGAAGAUUUCAUAUGAGAGGACAGUUACCAUAGAUAAUGGUACAAAAAUAAGAAAAACAGUCCUCUCACCAGACAUCUUCACUUAGAGAAAUAAUCUUUUGAUUAAGUUACUUUUAAGAUUGUGGAAGUGGUCACUAGAGUGGGAAAUCAUGGGAAGAAGGAGAAGAGAACAUUUUUUGAUCCACCAGACACAUACCUAAGACACUGAUCAUAUAGAUAAAACACGAAUGAAAAGG